rnacentral:rRNA from 1 species
UACGUAGGGUGCGAGCGUUGUCCGGAAUUAUUGGGCGUAAAGAGCUUGUAGGCGGUUUGUCGCGUCUGCUGUGAAAAUCCGGGGCUCAACCCCGGACUUGCAGUGGGUACGGGCAGACUGGAGUGUGGUAGGGGGAGACUGGAAUUCCUGGUGUAGCGGUGGAAUGCGCAGAUAUCAGGAGGAACACCGAUGGCGAAGGCAGGUCUCUGGGCCACUACUGACGCUGAGAAGCGAAAGCAUGGGGGAGCGAACAGG